rnacentral:snoRNA from 1 species
AGCUUUAACCAACCAGCUUCGUAUCUUGGCAGCUGGGGCUUGCGAGUACGCAGCUGCCGCACUCUCCCGUAGAUACUUGAGGUCAAAGUAAAGAGCAAGACGG